CUUGUGGAUAAAGGACGUCUUUCUAUGCCCAAGCUAGUCGUGCUUUCACAACCUACAACAAUUAUGGCCUUCACCUGGCAAGAUAAGGCAGAAGUAAUACUCUACCUGCUUAGCAAGAGCACCCACAGACUUUAAUGAUUGUGACUUUGCUCUAUAUUCCAAGGAAUUGGAGACAUUUGGGUUCUGAACAGCCUCACCAAGGUCCAAAAAAGACUAUCUCCAGACAUACACAAAAAUCUCAGAGUAUAUUGGGGAGCCCAAACUCAUACAGAUGAGGAAACUAACAAUAGUCCUCAGAUGCAUGCAAAAAACCCUCCAAAAACUAAUGAAGAAAGAAGUUGCAAGAUCAACAUAUCUUCUGCUACAAAAACAAAAAGGGGGAUAUGCAGGGGUUAACAGUCAGCCACCUGUUGCUCUGGCUAAGCCAUGAGAAAAUCACCAUGGGAAAAGAAUAAAAGCAAAAUAUAGCAAUACAGCAUAACCCAGAUAAAAGUACAUCAGGUUGAUCAGCUGGGGUUGUCAUGCCCUGCUAAGCUAAGGAAAAACAUAGUGUGGACCUUGGAACGGCAGGUCUGCGCAAGUUCAGAGCGCUGCUUGUGCACACACCAGGAUGUUUUCCCAAGGCAUAUGCGAGUCUAUGACCUCCAGCUAGGCGAUAGCCCUUGUACAAGAAAACAACAGAUAGUUUAAAGUAAUCAAUAAAAUGGGACAGGUGUCCAGGGACACAGGAGGCUGACUUCAUGGUAGCACAACAGAACCUUGCUACUUGCCAAGACACUAGAUAAAAGUGAUGUGGCUCUGAGGAACAGGGCUCUUGACCCAAGGAGUCUUGAGUCCCCCGGUCCCAUCUUUAAACUUUAAUUUUGCCUCUAGUUUCUUUUUCCCAAACUGUGUGUCAACCACUUUCGAUCCCU
ensembl:lncRNA